ACUUUUUGGCAGUAUGUACAUUUGUGAACAACUAUUUUCAAGGAUGAAUCACAGGAAGAGUAAAAUUUCAUCAGAAUCUCUGAUGAACACCUUGAGAGCUCAUUAACAAUUGCAGCCUCUUCCACUGAACAAAACUGAUGCAUUAUUUUCACAAAAACAAGAUGAUUUUGAAUUAUUGAAACUUCAAUCAAGCCCAAUUGUAAUACUUGACCUUACAGUGGACCAGAAGAAACCCAGAUCAGAGCACAGCCAAGAAUUUAAGAAAGAUAAAAGAGCAUUGAGAUGGCUAGAUGAUCACUUGGCUCUGGAAAUUUGACGUAUGAAGAGAACAGUAGUGUGAAGCCAUACAAACAGUGGGCAAAGCUGACAGAGAGGCUGGGGUGGCAGAACUGAAGUUGGCGGUACUGCUGCCAGGUGCACGGCACACAACUUGUGGUUGGACAGCCAGGCCAGAAGCUCUGAACAAAGACCCAGGUGCUGCUCAGAAACAGUGAGGCAUUCCUGCUCAAUGUUCUGGCUGCCCACCUAAUGAAGAGCAGUGAAUUGAAAAUGAAAUUGCUCAUGGUUGGAGUACUUUUGUGGAAAUGCAUCCCUUCAAAGUUCAGAGUCAAGAAAGAUGGUGCUGGAAAAGGAAAGCCCGGUAUGCUGGAAAGGAGCAGCUGAGGUGGUAACUGUAGUGCUUUGGACAAGCAGUCAUCUCUUGUUGUGGAGACUGCCGUGGCUUGGCACUGGAAGGAAGGAAGGUCUUGUUGGCACCAGGUGGGGACACCGAGACACAGGGCUGCAGCAUGAUUAGCCCCAUGGUUUUCAGCAAAGCAUGAGGACAGCAUGUGGCUGCACCAGUAGUGAGGACCUUCUGGUCUCUUCUUUGCUACCAUCUUGCAACCCUUCCCAAAGCGUGCUGCAGGCCCAGCUCCAAUGCUUCAUCAAGAUCCAGGAACUCCCAGAGCUGCCCACGGUCAUGUCACACAGGUUUACACAGGCUUUCCUGGCCUUGCUGCAAUGAGCAGGACUGAAGUGGAAAGUGAUGAGCCUGCUGAGGUCGUCUGGAUGCAGUGAUGUGAAGAGGCAGUAGUUUUCCAGGCUGAUAUUCAGUCUGGAGCCGUAGCACUGAUGCUCCAAGACUGUCACUUCUUUGUGAAACUAUGACUGCUAAAAAGAAACAUUUAUUUUCUUCAUUUGCAAGGCUGUGAAAACACACUCACCUUCCUGCGGACGUGUGCGGAGCAGAGGUGUCAGCUCACCCCAUGCAGCCUGAUGUGGACUACGUCAGUGUGGUCACCCACCCCCUGGAUGAGGUAGUCCUGGCUCCUUCGGGUCAGGCCUCGCAGUACAAAGGCUGCAGAGCUGCAGAAAGGGAGAAGACAAGGAGGGCUGCGCCUGGCCUUUAUCUCUUGCAUGCUUUGGCCCCAUGAAGAACUCCAGCAUGUCUGCCUGGUGAACAACGAGUUGAAUGCCUGGUGAUGUCCAGUGAGUCAGGAACAACCCACAUUGAGGAGUAAGGAGACAUUAACAUACUGGUCAUCAGCUGAGCAGAAGAUACUGAUGGAGAUGCUUCUUUAUGCAAGCACGACGGCAAGCUCCCUUCCAUUCUAUUGAGAAGAUAAUGCAUGAUAGCGAUGUGAAUGUGUUGCUGUCAUGAGCUAAGUGCUGACUUUUGUCCAUACCAAUGGUAACGAAGGGUUACAGAAAUGCUGAAACUCAAAAAUAUAAACACAAAUAUCAGACCUCCAGCCCUCCCAUAGGGCAUUUCUAAUUGUCAAGUGAAGGGAUGGGAAUUGCUGUGAUAAAUGUCAUGUAUCUUAUGGGUUGUUACACAACAGUGGUGGGGGAAGAGGGAAGGUGCAGAAAGGAGAAAGCUGGAACUACUCAUACGUACUUGGUAAAAAUAACAUGCCGUUUGAUUAGAAGUGUGUUUUAAACAUAUUAUUUGAAUAUGUAAGGAGUUAUGUUGGUCCUGAAAGUACCUGAUGACUAUCAUGCUGCUACGAAGGCAUUGUACCCACCAAUGCUUGGCCUCUGUGACAUUACCAUUGGGUUCAAUGACAAGCAGGGCAAGACCAGGUGGGCAGGAUGGGACUAACCAUGCUCAGGGAGCUAUAACUCCACAGAAUGAUCAUGCAGUGUUCUUACAUAUGAUGGAUGUGGUAAAUGACAGCAGUUUUGUUAACACUGCACUCUACUGCAUAUCUGGCACAAGAGUUAACAUGGGCUAGCACCAAAAUUUGCAGUGUCAUGGGUGGUGAGUAUGCACCCUUCAAAGCCUCCUGUACUGUGGGAACUUUCAAUGGUUUAACCUAAAACAAGUGUCAUGCUGAGAAAAACUCUGUGCAAGCACUUGGUUUCAGUUUAAACACCAUUUAUUUUGAAGUCACCUCUGGGGGUGGAAAGGUGCUUUUUGUUGUUUGGUUUUUUUGUUGUUGUUGUUGUUUUUAACCAAAAUGAGUGAAACCAAAUGAAAGGUGUCUGCCUACAAGCAAUGCACUGGAGUAAUUAUGGUCCCUGCACUGAGACUCAAGCAAAUAUUUCUGAGGCAGUUUCUGAAUUUUGCAAACCAUCUGUCUGCCUUUACCUCUGCCAGCACCACAGAGAUGGGGCACCUCAGCCUAAGAGCAGUCAGGGCAGCUAUGGGUGCUGCUGCACCAAAUCUCCAUAGCCAGUCAUUGGGCCACUUGUGAGUGUGGAAACAGCAUUUUCUGUCCAUCCGUCCAUGUGGUCAGAGGUGAGUCCUAGACAUACUGUGACAUAACAGCAUGUUCUUCCUCUAGGGCAAGAGCUGCAGCUGAAUUCAUCAGUAGGAAUGGGAUGUGAGGGACUUCCCCAGGUGGACUGCACUGGGGAUUCACUUCCAAGUGGGAUACCACAUUGGGUGCUAACGAUGCCAUUGACACCUACUCCCGCUCUAACCUGAUCACCUCUGGUCGGGUCCAGCUGGCCCUUUGAAGAUAUCUCCUCACCCAGUGUUAACCCCAGCUUGUUUUUCUCCCUGCUUCUUGGUUCACCAGUGGUGGCACAAGCCAGAGCUCCUGGCUGGGUCUCUGCAGGGCACACUGGUUUGAGGAGGAACAGAAGAGAGCUCUGGGACAUCUGGUACUUUAGACUGAGGAAGAGCACUCAUUUGGAUGGAGGGUUUGGUGCUGUAAAGCAGGUGAACUGGCUAAGCUUCUUCUGGAAGGUGCUGGGCUGCCAGGAGCUCCCCAGAGCAGGGGCAAGAAAGAUGUCCCUCAGCGGGUACUGGGGUAUCAUCAUGCAAACAGCUGGCUAGGUGAGUUAGAGAAGGUAUCUCAUCUCUUACCUAUUUCUCACUGGAAGCAGAAAGUGCAGAAGCCAAGUCUGUAAUUUCCCAGAUGGAUAUGUCUUCUAUAGGACCUCUUUCUUCCAUGAAAAGGAGGAGAUGCCUCCAGAUAUCCUCUGACACAUACAACUACUUUGUACCAGACAAAGUAAUUGGCUGGAGUCAACCUGGGCCCUCAGUAAAACAAGUGUGGGUUCGGGAAGUCAAAAGAGUUUGAGAGCUCCUGCCUCUGUCCUAUGGCAUUCCUGUGGUGGAAAAUCCCACAGUGAGGGGAGCUGUGGGCAGGAAAGUGGAGCACAGCCAUCCUGCUGCUUUCUGAAGGCAUCUAUCAGGUUGUGCAGGCAUAGCCAGGUCUCUAGCAUCCCUGUCUCUGCUCUUAGGUGUCAAUUUCUAUCAGACACUGGAAAUCCUGAGUAUAUUUCCAAGAAGAUGGGCAGAGUCAUUUGAUUGACCAUUGUGCUGGUCACACAGAAGAGAAGAAUGACCAUUCUUGCUCACAGGCUUAAAACCCACCUGCAUUCAUAUCUCCUCUAAGCGCUGCAAACAGCAAAGCAGAGAUGGUAACAGCCACUAAAGGAGGAAGGGCCACGUACAGAGAUGUUCACUUACCUCCAAAGGUCUUUACUCUCUUGGUCAAAGGCCCUGACUGCCUAUCUUCAGUUUGGGUAUCUUUAAAUUUAAUCUGUCCAUAUUCCUUUUGCAUAGCUCUUGGAUGAAAAGGUUUGGCUCUGUAAAACAAUAUUGCCAAGCUGCUACAUGAGGAAUGAGCCACACAUAGAAGGUAUGUAAGUACGUGCUUGUGAAAAAGCCAACAAACUCUUCCCUCGUAUGUGAUGAUGCCUUUUCCAUGUCUAGUGUUGUCUUAGCUUCGUUUUCAUUACUUCACACAUAAAAACAGAAGUUAAAGGAUGUGCAAAAUGUCACACAGUGAAGUAAAAUUAUUGGCUGAUCUAAGAACUUCCACCCCAACCAGAAGUCUUAUCUUCCAAGCUUUGAAUCUGUGUCAGAACCAAUUAUUUUAACGUAGAUUUUUUAAAUAUAUAUGGUAGCAUCUUAAGGCUUUGUCAAUAUAUUUAAAGUUGUUCUACAAUAUAUACAGUAAUUGCUUUUCUAUGAGGACCGAGAUACAUGAAAGAUUCAAAAGAUAGAGGACUUUUCAUUGAUGGCAACUUUUAAAAAAAUAAAAGCUGGAUUAUUACAUGAAGGAGAUAAAAGGCCAUGAAAUAGAUAUUAAGGCCAUGAAGUAGAUAUUUUUACUCUAGCAUAAGAGAGGAUUUUUAGCUUCUAAAUAUGCAGAGACACUAUAUCAACUAUCACAAAUGUGUGCCGGUGAUGCAUCCAACAACACUUAAUUAUCAGUUCUACAGGAAAAUUAGGUGAGAAAAUUACUUGUCUUUUUGUAUUUAUUUUAGUUAUAAAAACCCAAAGAUGAUGACACUUCUCUCACUACAGCAUGUUAGACAUAGAUGGCUUGCCUGUCUUAUUUUUCCCCCUUGGUGAUGCAGAUUGAUAAUUCCUGCAGUGGGCUCAGUUUAAUUUGUUACUUUUUACAAAUGCAUAUUGUGCAGUUUUAAAGACAGCUGUCUUCAAAAUGGGUAGACAUUAAGCAGUUUCAUUUUUUGUGGUGUCUUAGAUCAGAAAUGUUUGAGAUGGAAGAAACUGAUCUGGUCCACUACCUCGACCUUCUUUGCAAUGGUUCUGGCAUGCAUCUGUCAACAUGGCUGACGUAGCUACACAGGAAUAUGGUGGGAAAAGUCUUGGCUAGAAAAAUCUUACUGCACACAUAUGAUGAAAGAGAAGGGAAAGGCAAUGUUGGAAGAGAACGACUUGUUCCCAGCAGUCAGCAAAGUCUCCAGCCAUAUUACAGCGGUGGCAGCUGCCUCUUCCCCAGUGGUAAGGGGGAGUGCCCCUGAGAGCAUGGCAUUACAAGGAGAACAGGUCUCAUGUGAUGUCCUUUUGAGGGCAGAUUUGGUUGUCCCUCAUGUAAAAUACAAACAGCAAUGGAUAAGCAAGAGCAUGGCAUUCACAGGGAGGAAGCUGAAGUAGUUGGUAUAUCAAUUAGAAGGAACAUGUUAAAUUGCUCUUGAUUUCCAUCAGGUGCCAACCCAUUAAGAGAAUAUCUGGUGAAUUAAGACUGGAAAAGGUGAGAAAGAGGGAGAGGGGAAAAUCUGGCUGGGGAGGAAGCAGAAGGAAACCAAGCAUAGCCUGCCUCAGCGGUCUCCUUCCCAUCAGCCUUCCAGGCAGUUGGGCAGGCUUGCUCAUGUGCCAGGCUGCUAUUCCUCGUGGGGACACCUGGUAUCCCACCCAGCCGUAGGGUCAUUUCCAGCUAGACUCCUUCCCCUGGCUCAGGGACAUACUGGGCCACGUGCAACACACUGAGACUUUAGUAAGUGCUCUGUGUAGCACUGGUGCAGGUGGGCAAAGCAAUGGCAUGGGAACACCAGUGCACACAUCUGCUUCUGCUAUAGCAGUGAGCUGCUGCUUCCCGUGCCACAUCCCAGUAUGUGGAGAAGACUGUGGAAGGAAAGGGAUUGGUGCAUAGUGAGCAGCCAGGAAAGGCAGGUGUGAGAUACAGCAGGUAGCUUCAGGUGCAGAUACGUUCAUUUCUUCAUUUUUUUUUUUCUUGAUAAUUUGAUAAUAAACAUGCGAGCUGGAUUUGGUAUUGCCACUAGUGCUGGCACAUCCAGCCAAUUUCUGUAUUUUCUAGGAGUGUGCAUGCCAUUACAGCCAAGGAAAUCGUGCUCUCCUGGGACUCGGAUUGAGCAGUGUCUAAUAAAAGGCCUGAUGAAGAGAAACUUCUGCAAGAUUUAUUUUCCCCUGGGAAAUUAACCAUUGUAUACCACAGCACACAUGGCAUAUGGCUGCCUGUCCAUGGGAGCACUGCAUCCAACUUCUGAUUCAGCAAAAUACUGGAAGUGGUGUUGUGAUAAAUAGGGCUUAAACAGAGGUAUAAAGUUUGACAUGGCCUUAACAGGCCAUUUCGGCAUUGAUAAAUGUAAAACACAAAGAUUUAUAUUGUGACUCAGAGCUAGAUUUUUCUCAUACAAGCAAUGGAUUAAAAGUGAUCAGUUACUGAGUCUGAUUGCCAGACUAAUUCAAUUUAUUUUAUGUGUAUAUUAUGCUAUCUCUUCACCUUCUGAAUGUUAUGUGAAAAUAAGAAAAGGUAGGCAUAGAAUAGAAUCACAGAAUGAGUUGGGGACCUUGAAGUCCACCUGGUUCCAACCCCAUUGCUGUGGACAGCGUUGCCUCCCACUUCAUCAUGCUCAGGGUCCCAUCCAGCCUGGCCUUGAACUCAUCCAGGGAUGGAGCAUCCAUAGCUUCUCAGAGCAACCUGUUGCAGUAUCUCACCACUCUUAGAGUAAACAGUUUCUCCCUAACAUCUAACCCAAAUUUCUCCUCUUUCAUUAUAAACCCAUUUCCCCUUGUCCUAUCAUUAUCGGACCAUGUAAAAAAUUGGUCCCACUCCUGAUUAUAAGCUCCCAUCGAGUAAUGAAAGGCUGCAAUGAGGUCUCCCCAAAGCCUUCUCUUCUCCAGUUUGAGUAAGUCCAAUUCCCUCAGCCUGUCUUCACAGGAGAGGUGCUCCAGCUCUCUGAUCAUCUCAG